GAUGAACGCUGGCGGCGUGCCUAAUACAUGCAAGUCGAGCGGACGGACGAGAAGCUUGCUUCUCUGCUGUUAGCGGCGGACGGGUGAGUAACACGUGGAUAACCUACCUAUAAGACUGGGAUAACUUCGGGAAACCGGAGCUAAUACCGGAUAAUAUUUUGAACCGCAUGGUUCAAAAGUGAAAGACGGUCUUGCUGUCACUUAUAGAUGGAUCCGCGCUGCAUUAGCUAGUUGGUAAGGUAACGGCUUACCAAGGCAACGAUGCAUAGCCGACCUGAGAGGGUGAUCGGCCACACUGGAACUGAGACACGGUCCAGACUCCUACGGGAGGCAGCAGUAGGGAAUCUUCCGCAAUGGGCGAAAGCCUGACGGAGCAACGCCGCGUGAGUGAUGAAGGUCUUCGGAUCGUAAAACUCUGUUAUUAGGGAAGAACAUAUGUGUAAGUAACUGUGCACAUCUUGACGGUACCUAAUCAGAAAGCCACGGCUAACUACGUG
rnacentral:rRNA from 1 species